AUGACUUCUUGAAUCAACAGAACAAGGCAGUGGAUAUUCCAGAAAGGGAUGACCCAGUUCACUGCCUCCCCUUUCCCAAGGCAAGGACUCCAUGAGAAACAAUACUAGCAGGAGUCUAGAACCAGCUGCUAUGACAGUUUUGUGGAGCCUGGAUAUUCAGAUGGAAAGCAACGGAACCUCUCUCAAACAUUUGAAUUUGGAGCUAACAGUGGAUGCUGUGCAAUGUAUGCUUCAAGGAAACAGCUUGACACGGGCUAACAAAGACAACCAGUCUGAGGGUUCUCCAUGAACUUCCCUUUACAAGGUACAUUGACUAAAGGUAUCAGAAGAGGCAAGAGAAUCUCACUAAACCAUAUGAACAAC